rnacentral:lncRNA from 1 species
GUCGUCCGUCAUCGAUCAGUGCGGCGUCAGUCGGAGAUGCUGAGCAUGGCGUAGCGGACGUACUCGUCGACGCCGCCCCGGCUCCCGCUGUGGCUCCAGGCGGCGCCGCGCGCCAGGGCGUCGUUGACCCACGCGGCGUGCGAGGCGAGCACGACGCACAGGACGGCGAAGGCCUCGGGAAGGUGGCGCGCGAGCGGCAGCCGCAGGUUGAGCGGCGCCGAGAGGUUGAACACCUGCAUGAGCCCCCUCGCCGCCACGAACGCAAGCAGGUGGAACCCCAUCGCGUCGAGGUCGAAUUCGAAUCGGCCAACACCGGGCCGCCCGCCGGCGCACACACAGGUCGCGGGAGCUCGAUCGCCUUGGUACAGUGGCUGCCGUCGUCGUCGUCGUCGUCUCCGUCUCUUGUUGGCAGCAGCUAGCGGGAAAUAAUAAUGCCUGCUGCCCG